UACGUAGGUGGCAAGCGUUGUCCGGAAUUACUGGGUGUAAAGGGCGUGUAGGCGGGUUAUUAAGUCAGAUGUGAAAUUCCAGGGCUCAACCCUGGAGCUGCAUCUGAAACUGAUGAUCUUGAGUACUGGAGAGGGAAGUGGAAUUCCUAGUGUAGCGGUGAAAUGCGUAGAUAUUAGGAGGAACACCAGUGGCGAAGGCGACUUUCUGGACAGUAACUGACGCUGAGGCGCGAAAGCGUGGGGAGCAAACAGG
rnacentral:rRNA from 1 species